rnacentral:misc_RNA from 1 species
AAGCAUCUGCAAAAAAGAAAGAGUGUAAGUGUAUCCAGUUCUACUGAUUAUGCUGGAAACUAAGUUUUCAUUGCACUUUGUGAGGCUUCAAUAAGUGAUUAUUUCGGACUUCUAUGAAUGUAAUUCUUUUUGUAUCACAGUGGAGUUGAAAUUUUCCUUUCCAUUGCUUUUGGACUCUCUAAUCUAUUGGUUGUUAAUGCUUACUAAAUGACUUCCCUGAUUUUCUCCUCAGCUGGAAAGUCAUCUGUUCUAUUGG